rnacentral:rRNA from 1 species
UGGGGAAUAUUGGACAAUGGGCGCAAGCCUGAUCCAGCCACGCCGCGUGAGUGAUGAAGGCCUUCGGGUCGUAAAGCUCUGUGGGGAGGGACGAACCGCUGCACGUUCAUAGCGUGCAGCAUGACGGUACCUCCUUAGCAAGCACCGGCUAACUUCGUGCCAGCAGCCGCGGUAAUACGAAGGGUGCAAACGUUGCUCGGAAUUAUUGGGCGUAAAGCGCACGUAGGCGGCUUGACAAGUCGGAUGUGAAAUCCCUCGGCUCAACCAAGGAAGUGCAUCCGAAACUGACAAGCUUGAGUACGGAAGAGGAUAGCGGAAGUCCCGGUGUGGAGGUGAAAUUCGUAGAUGUCGGGAGGAACACCAGUGGCGAGGGCGGCGAUCUGAGUCGAUACUGACGCUGAAAUGCGGAAGCGUGGGAAGCAAACA